rnacentral:snoRNA from 1 species
AAAACAUGGUGUGGACAGCUCCUCAGUAAAUCCUUGAAAUAUUCCCAGUAAUCAUACAGAGUCUCAUUCUCUUGCUAAAGAAACCCUGCUAUGUCAUUCCUUAACUU